rnacentral:rRNA from 1 species
CAGUCGACGCCCCGCAAGGGGAGUGGCGGACGGGUGAGUAACGCGUGGGAAUUUUCCUCAAGGUACGGAACAACUCAGGGAAACUUGGGCUAAUACCGUAUGAUGCAGCGAUGCCAAAGAUUUAUCGCCUUGGGAUAAGCCCGCGUCAGAUUAGGUAGUUGGUGGGGUAACGGCCUACCAAGCCUGCGAUCUGUAGCUGGUCUGAGAGGACGAUCAGCCACAUUGGGACUGAGACACGGCCCAAACUCCUACGGGAGGCAGCAGUGGGGAAUCUUGCGCAAUGGGCGAAAGCCUGACGCAGCCAUGCCGCGUGAAUGAUGAAGGUCUUAGGAUUGUAAAGUUCUUUAGCCUGUGACGAUGAUGACGGUAACAGGAGAAUAAGCCCCGGCUAACUUCGUGCCAGCAGCCGCGGUAAUACGAAGGGGGCUAGCGUUGUUCGGAAUUACUGGGCGUAAAGCGCGCGUAGGCGGUUUUACAAGCCAGAGGUGAAAUGCCUGAGCUUAACUUGGGAAUUGCCUUUGGAACUGUAUGACUUCGAGGACGAGAGAGGUGAGUGGAAUUCCCAGUGUAGAGGUGAAAUUCGUAGAUAUUGGGAAGAACACCGGUGGCGAAGGCGGCUCACUGGCUCGUUUCUGACGCUGCAGCGCGAAAGCGUGGGGAUCAAACAGGAUUAGAUACCCUGGUAGUCCACGCUGUAAACGAUGAAUGCCAGACGUCGGCAGGCAUGCCUGUCGGUGUCACACCUAACGGAUUAAGCAUUCCGCCUGGGGAGUACGGCCGCAAGGUUAAAACUCAAAGGAAUUGACGG